rnacentral:misc_RNA from 1 species
GUAGGUGAACCUGCGGAAGGAUCAUUAACACUCCAAAACACUCAUUACUCUUGGCAACAAGGGUAUAUGAAACCCUAUUCACAAGCGAACCCGAGGGUGGCAGAGGAGCGCGAGGCUUUCCGUCUCCAACUCUUCUACACCUUCAACCCUUUUCCAUUUGUCCCUUUUUUUCUUUUAAGCCCCACAUAUUUUACUUUUAGACUGACUGAGACGCAAGUCUCGUUGUACUUCGAAAGAAGUGCAAUGAAAA